rnacentral:rRNA from 1 species
AUUGAACGCUGGCGGCAUGCCUUACACAUGCAAGUCGAACGGCAGCGGACCUUCGGGUGCCGGCGAGUGGCGAACGGGUGAGUAAUAUAUCGGAACGUACCUUUCAGUGGGGGAUAACGUAGCGAAAGUUACGCUAAUACCGCAUAUUCUGUGAGCAGGAAAGCAGGGGAUCGCAAGACCUUGCGCUGAUUGAGCGCCCGAUAUCAGAUUAGCUAGUUGGUGAGGUAAAGGCUCACCAAGGCGACGAUCUGUAGCGGGUCUGAGAGGAUGAUCCGCCACACUGGAACUGAGACACGGUCCAGACUCCUACGGGAGGCAGCAGUGGGGAAUUUUGGACAAUGGGCGCAAGCCUGAUCCAGCCAUGCCGCGUGAGUGAAGAAGGCCUCGGUUGUAAGCUCUUCGUCCGGGACGGAAGUACGCACAGUUAAGUACCCUACGU